AAAUUGAAGAGUUUGAUCAUGGCUCAGAUUGAACGCUGGCGGCAGGCCUAACACAUGCAAGUCGAACGGUAACAGGAAGCAGCUUGCUGCUUCGCUGACGAGUGGCGGACGGGUGAGUAAUGUCUGGGAAACUGCCUGAUGGAGGGGGAUAACUACUGGAAACGGUAGCUAAUACCGCAUAAUGUCGCAAGACCAAAGAGGGGGACCUUCGGGCCUCUUGCCAUCGGAUGUGCCCAGAUGGGAUUAGCUUGUUGGUGGGGUAACGGCUCACCAAGGCGACGAUCCCUAGCUGGUCUGAGAGGAUGACCAGCCACACUGGAACUGAGACACGGUCCAGACUCCUACGGGAGGCAGCAGUGGGGAAUAUUGCACAAUGGGCGCAAGCCUGAUGCAGCCAUGCCGCGUGUAUGAAGAAGGCCUUCGGGUUGUAAAGUACUUUCAGCGGGGAGGAAGGGAGUAAAGUUAAUACCUUUGCUCAUUGACGUUACCCGCAGAAGAAGCACCGGCUAACUCCGUGCCAGCAGCCGCGGUAAUACGGAGGGUGCAAGCGUUAAUCGGAAUUACUGGGCGUAAAGCGCACGCAGGCGGUUUGUUAAGUCAGAUGUGAAAUCCCCGGGCUCAACCUGGGAACUGCAUCUGAUACUGGCAAGCUUGAGUCUCGUAGAGGGGGGUAGAAUUCCAGGUGUAGCGGUGAAAUGCGUAGAGAUCUGGAGGAAUACCGGUGGCGAAGGCGGCCCCCUGGACGAAGACUGACGCUCAGGUGCGAAAGCGUGGGGAGCAAACAGGAUUAGAUACCCUGGUAGUCCACGCCGUAAACGAUGUCGACUUGGAGGUUGUGCCCUUGAGGCGUGGCUUCCGGAGCUAACGCGUUAAGUCGACCGCCUGGGGAGUACGGCCGCAAGGUUAAAACUCAAAUGAAUUGACGGGGGCCCGCACAAGCGGUGGAGCAUGUGGUUUAAUUCGAUGCAACGCGAAGAACCUUACCUGGUCUUGACAUCCACAGAACUUUCCAGAGAUGGAUUGGUGCCUUCGGGAACUGUGAGACAGGUGCUGCAUGGCUGUCGUCAGCUCGUGUUGUGAAAUGUUGGGUUAAGUCCCGCAACGAGCGCAACCCUUAUCCUUUGUUGCCAGCGGUCCGGCCGGGAACUCAAAGGAGACUGCCAGUGAUAAACUGGAGGAAGGUGGGGAUGACGUCAAGUCAUCAUGGCCCUUACGACCAGGGCUACACACGUGCUACAAUGGCGCAUACAAAGAGAAGCGACCUCGCGAGAGCAAGCGGACCUCAUAAAGUGCGUCGUAGUCCGGAUUGAGUCUGCAACUCGACUCCAUGAAGUCGGAAUCGCUAGUAAUCGUGGAUCAGAAUGCCACGGUGAAUACGUUCCCGGGCCUUGUACACACCGCCCGUCACACCAUGGGAGUGGGUUGCAAAAGAAGUAGGUAGCUUAACCUUCGGGAGGGCGCUUACCACUUUGUGAUUCAUGACUGGGGUGAAGUCGUAACAAGGUAACCGUAGGGGAACCUGCGGUUGGAUCACCUCCUUA
rnacentral:rRNA from 1 species